UACGUAGGGUGCAAGCGUUGUCCGGAAUUACUGGGCGUAAAGAGUUCGUAGGCGGUUUGUCGCGUCGUUUGUGAAAACCAGCAGCUCAACUGCUGGCUUGCAGGCGAUACGGGCAGACUUGAGUACUGCAGGGAGACUGGAAUUCCUGGUGGUAGCGGUGAAAUGCGCAGAUAUCAGGAGGAACACCGGUGGCGAAGGCGGGUCUCUGGGCACUUACUGACGCUGAGGAGCGAAAGCGUGGGGAGCGAACAGG
rnacentral:rRNA from 1 species